rnacentral:rRNA from 1 species
AUUGAACGCUGGCGGCAGGCCUAACACAUGCAAGUCGAACGAGUGGCGGACGGGUGAGUAAUGUCUGGGAAACUGCCUGAUGGAGGGGGAUAACUACUGGAAACGGUAGCUAAUACCGCAUACCAUCAGAUGUGCCCAGAUGGGAUGAGCGAGUAGGUGGGGGAAAGGCUCACCAGGGCGACGAUCCCUAGCUGGGCUGAGAGGAUGACCAGCCACACUGGAACUGAGACACGGCACAGACUCCGACGGGAGGCAGCAGUGGGGAAUAUUGCACAAUGGGCGCAAGCCUGAUGCAGCCAUGCCGCGUGUAUGAAGAAGGCCUUCGGGUUGUAAAGUACUUUCAGCGGGGAGGCGUUACCCGCAGAAGAAGCACCGGCUAACUCCGUGCCAGCAGCCGCGGUAAUAC